UACGGAGGAGGCAAGCGUUAUCCGGAAUUAUUGGGCGUAAAGCGUCCGCAGGUGGCACUUCAAGUCUGUCGUCAAAGCCUGGGGCUCAACCCUGGAGAGGCGGCGGAGACCACCGGGCUUGAGUCCGGUAGGGGCAGAGGGAAUUCCCGGUGGAGCGGUGAAAUGCGUAGAGAUCGGGAAGAACACCAGUGGCGAAAGCGCUCUACUGGGCCAUAACUGACACUGAGGGACGAAAGCUAGGGGAGCGAAAGGG
rnacentral:rRNA from 1 species